rnacentral:rRNA from 1 species
AUUGAGCCUUGAUGUGUAGGAUAGGUGGGAGGCUUUGAAGUGUGGACGCCAGUCUGCAUGGAGCCGACCUUGAAAUACCACCCUUUAAUGUUUGAUGUUCUAACGUUGGCCCCUAAUCGGGGUUGCGGACAGUGUCUGGUGGGUAGUUUGACUGGGGCGGUCUCCUCCUAAAGAGUAACGGAGGAGCACGAAGGUUGGCUAAUCCUGGUCGGACAUCAGGAGGUUAGUGCAAUGGCAUAAGCCAGCUUGACUGCGAGCGUGACGGCGCGAGCAGGUGCGAAAGCAGGUCAUAGUGAUCCGGUGGUUCUGAAUGGAAGGGCCAUCGCUCAACGGAUAAAAGGUACUCCGGGGAUAACAGGCUGAUACCGCCCAAGAGUUCAUAUCGACGGCGGUGUUUGGCACCUCGAUGUCGGCUCAUCACAUCCUGGGGCUGAAGUAGGUCCCAAGGGUAUGGCUGUUCGCCAUUUAAAGUGGUACGCGAGCUGGGUUUAGAACGUCGUGAGACAGUUCGGUCCCUAUCUGCCGUGGGCGCUGGAGAACUGAGGGGGGCUGCUCCUAGUACGAGAGGACCGGAGUGGACGCAUCACUGGUGUUCGGGUUGUCAUGCCAAUGGCACUGCCCGGUAGCUAAAUGCGGAAGAGAUAAGUGCUGAAAGCAUCUAAGCACGAAACUUGCCCCGAGAUGAGUUCUCCCUGACUCCCUGAGAGUCCUGAAGGAACGUUGAAGACGACGACGUUGAUAGGCCGGGUGUGUAAGCGCAGCGAUGCGUUGAGCUAACCGGUACUAAUGAACCGUGAG